CACUAGCAAGUAAACCUUUCUUAGCAGUCAUCAGUUUUAUUAUAUGAUAUGUUUGUUUGUUUAUUCCUGAUUUAAAUUCAGAUAUGAUUGAUUUGUGUAAUAUAGGAGCCUCUGUUGAUGGUCCUCUCAAACGUCUUCCUAAUGAUCAUUUUGACCUGGUGGUGAUAGAUGAGUGUGCUCAGGCUCUAGAGAGCAGCUGUUGGAUUGCUCUGCUCAAAGCACGCAAGUGCAUACUGGCUGGGGAUUACAAACAGCUGCCACCAACCAUCAAAUCACAGAGUGCUGCAUCUGAAGGCCUGUCUGUAAGCUUAAUGGAGAGCCUGAGAAAGAAAUAUGGAGACUGUUGGUUCGAAUGUUGACCUUUCAGUAUGAAUAGUGCCAUCAUGGGGUGGGCCAGGCUUCAGAGCAGAUGUAUGAGGGCAAACUAAUCGCACACACUUCAGUGGAGAAAUACUUGCUUUUUGGGGAGACCUGGCAGGUGUUGCUGAUGUUGAAGAAACCAGAAUUCCUCUUCUGCUCACUGACAUUGCAAGCUGUGGCCUGAAUGAAAUGAUACAGAUGAGCAGUCCAAAAGAAAUCAAGAAUGAUCAGUGUGGCUGUGACUGGUGCCAGCUUGUGGUAGUGUGCAGUUCUCAGACUGCUGAAACCAUUACUUCCUCAAAUCCCCAGUGGACUAUAUGUCUGAACAUGGAGAGGUUUGUACUGCCUUUGUGUACCUGGAAGACUGUGUGGUGCACAAUUACAUCCGUGACGAAAAGGAAAAACAGAUCUACAGCAAAGAUGCUGCGUACAAAACAGAAACCCAAGAUCCAAGGCAGGAAAACAGAACUAGAACAGAAGAAAAGUGCAAACAACAAAGUAGAGGACUGAAAUCAGUCCAAUGUUCAGCUUGGCCCACAUAUCAAACAAACGUAAAGAUGCCAAUCAGACAUAAAAUAAGAAAACAGAGAUAAAGGAACAACUUCCAAACUUUCUGAAAGACCCAAACAAAACAAAGCUACAGUUUCCUUCCAUUUGGAUCAAAUGCACUGGGAUCAGGAGAAACGAGAGGAGAAAAGCCAGGAAAAACAACAGAGUUUGAGACGGGAACCAGAUCCCAAUGCAAGUAAAAGCCAGUCUGUUACGAAACACAAAGGAACUUCUAAAGGUUUGUGUUCUAUAUCCCAAUUUCUUUCAUUCUGUUGCACUUCAUCAAUAUGUGUUUCUUUCAAAGGUAUAGAUAUAGCUGCAGAUAUAGCUGCAGGUGCCAUGCCAGAUGACGAUUUUGAUGCUGUCAUUGAUGCUGUGGUUAAAGCCAACAGCAUUUGUGGUUUUGUGAAGUGCAAAGCCAGUGUCCUGACACUAGGACCGGGCAGCUAUGCCUCUACUGUAACAGACCAUACUGUCUGAGUCACCAUAUACCUGAAGUAACUUGCUUUUUAUUUUAUAUCAAAGGGGUCAUAUAAUGAAGAACCAUAUUUUGCGUUAUUAUUUUAAAUAAGUGUUCAUUAUAAAAGGAAAGCAGACUGUAUCUUUCAGAAACAUGACCUUUACAGUUGUGAUGUAACACAGAGCUAACUGGUUAGAUGCGAUUAUUCAUAAAAACCAAACACUCAGUGUUAGAAUUAAGUGGCUCAA